GAUGAAGAACGUAGCGAAAUGCGAUAAGUAGUGUGAAUUGCAGAAUUCAGUGAAUCAUCGAAUCUUUGAACGCACAUUGCGCCCUUUGGUAUUCCUUAGGGCAUGCCUGUUCGAGCGUCAUUUGAAACCUCAAGCUCAGCUUGGUGUUGGGUGUCUGUCCCCGCCUCACCGCGGGGACUCGCCUCAAAAUCAUUGGCGGCCGGUACGUUGGCUUCGAGCGCAGCAGAAACGCGAACUCGAGGCCCGGCGGAUCGGCGACCAGAAGUCACUUCUUCACAGUUUGACCUCGGAUCAGGUAGGGAUACCCGCUGAACUUAAGCAUAUCAAUAAGCGGAGG
rnacentral:misc_RNA from 1 species